GACGAACGCUGGCGGCGUGCUUAACACAUGCAAGUCGAACGGAAAGGCCCUGCUUUCGUGGUGUGCUCGAGUGGCGAACGGGUGAGUAACACGUGAGUAACCUGCCCUUCACUUUCGGAUAACUUCACGAAACUGGGGCUACUCUCGGAUAGGAUCUCCCCUUCCAUUGUGGGGGUUGGAACGUUUCGGCUGUUGGGGUUGGACUCGCGGCUUUCCAGCUUGUUGGUGGGGUAGUGGCUUACCAAGGCUUUGACGGGUAGCCGGCCUGAGAGGGUGAACGGCGACAUGAGGACUGAGGUACGGACCAGACGGCAACGGGAGGCAGCAGUGGGGAAUAUUGCACAAUGGGAGGAAGCCUGAUGCAGAAACGCCGCGUGCGGGAUGACGGCCUUCGGGUUGUAAACCGCUUUCGCCUGUGACGAAGCGUGAGUGACGGUAAUGGGUAAAGAAGCACCGGCUAACUACGUG
rnacentral:rRNA from 1 species